rfam:Methanocella paludicola SANAE DNA, complete genome.
GUCGCGGUAUCCAAGCCUGGUAUGGAGCAGGUUUGCUAAACCUGUGCUCUUCGGAGCUCCGGAGUUCAAAUCUCCGCCGCGGCG